rnacentral:rRNA from 1 species
AUUGAACGCUGGCGGCAUGCCUUACACAUGCAGGUCGAACGGCAGCACGGGAGCAAUCCUGGUGGCGAGUGGCGAACGGGUGAGUAAUGUAUCGGAACGUGCCUUGUCGUGGGGGAUAACGUAGCGAAAGCUACGCUAAUACCGCAUACCAUCUAAGGAUGAAAGCGGGGGAUCGCAAGACCUCGCGCGACAAGAGUGGCCGAUAUCAGAUUAGGUUGUUGGUGGGGUAAAGGCCUACCAAGCCGACGAUCUGUAGCUGGUCUGAGAGGACGACCAGCCACACUGGGACUGAGACACGGCCCAGACUCCUACGGGAGGCAGCAGUGGGGAAUUUUGGACAAUGGGCGAAAGCCUGAUCCAGCAAUGCCGCGUGCAGGAUGAAGGCCUUCGGUUGGUAAACUAGCUUUGUUACUAGAACGAAACAAGUACUCUCCUAAUACGGGGGCGGAAGUGACGGUACUGUAAGAAUAAGCACCGGCUAACUAACGUGCCAGCAGCCGCGGUAA